rnacentral:rRNA from 1 species
ACGAACGCUGGCGGCGUGCUUCACCCCUGCAAGUCGAACGGAAAGGCCCCUUUGGGGGUACUCGAGUGGCGACCGGGUGAGUAACACGUGAGUAACCUGCCCUUGACUUCGGGAUAACUUCAGGAAACUGGGGCUAAUACCGGAUAGGAAUCCUUGCUGCAUGGUGGGGGUUGGAAAGCUUCGGCGGUUUUGGAUGGACUCGCGGCUUAUCAGCUUGUUGGUGGGGUAGUGGCUUACCAAGGCUUUGACGGGUAGCCGGCCUGAGAGGGCGACCGGCCACAUUGGGACUGAGAUACGGCCCAGACGCCUACGGGAGGCAGCAGUGGGGAAUAUUGCACAAUGGGCGGAAGCCUGAUGCAGCAACGCCGCGGGCGGGAUGACGGGCUUCGGGUUGUAAACCGCUUUCAGCAGGGGCGAAGCUUGUGGUGACGGUACCUGCAGAAGAAGCACCGGCUAACUACGUG